AUCUAAAUAUUCAAAUAUGAUUUUAAAUUGCAAAUUUAAAGGUGAACUCUGGUUUUUUAGAUU
rnacentral:tRNA from 1 species